AUGUUGCUGCCACUCUUUGGAAUGGCAGGUAGCUGCAUGACAUAUUGUGGAAACGUGGAGGUGCCGUAUCCAUUCGGCAUAGGCCCAUCCACCAGCUGCUACCUGCAGCCGGGAUUCAACCUCACCUGCGACACAAGCGUUAACCCCCCGCGGCUACUCCUAGGCAGCAGCGACUUUCAGGUCACUCAUAUCUCCCUUGACAACUCCAUGGUGCAUGUUGUCAGAAGGGAUGCCCUUAUAACCGUUAUGUCCAAUACCGAGAGGAUUUGGGUAUUCCCUGAAUAUUUGGGAUCAACCAAAGAUUUCACAUUCUUUUUUCCGGGAGAAGCACCCUUCUCACUGUCCACUAGAAAUGAACUCGUUGUCACAGGGUGCAACGCACAAGCCACGUUGUUCAGGCACCCAGGCAUCAUCGGCGGAUGCGCCUCCUUAUGCUCCAACAGCAACGACACCAGUACCAGCACCGGCCUUGGUGGAAGCAGUGGCGGCAAGUACUGCCGCUUCAAUGGCUGCUGCCAGACACACAUUUCUGAGUCCACGGACGGAAUGCCCAGCAAAUUGCAUUUCAAAUGGUUUGAGACAAACGACCCUAAGGAUUUGGAACUGUUUCCCGGGUACGUGUUCAUUGCAGAGGAGGGUUGGUUUGAUCAGCAUGGCCACCGUAUCAUGCAGAAGGGUCUGAACACCACGUGGGCAGAGGUUCCCAUUCUUCUCCGGUGGGAGGUCUUGCAUAAUCAUGGGUCAUCAACCAACGUGAGCUCUCAUCCCGAUUGCUCCCAAGAGGUAUCGACCGACCUUUGCAAGAGCAAGCACAGCCAUUGCAAAUCCAGGAAGAGAGGCUAUUCUUGUCACUGCGACAACGACUACCAUGGCAACCCCUACGUCCACAACGGAUGCAAAGGUCCGACGCAUGCAAUAUUGCAAUAUCUGUUACGCAUAUGUAUUCCUUUUUGUUUACAUUAA
rnacentral:rRNA from 1 species